UCUUCUUUGUGAAACCUUAUUACUACAGAUGGUAUAUUUACUAUACAUACAUAUACAUAUGUAUAAUAUACAUGUCUUAUCUAUGAUAUAUAACAGUAUAUGAUGUAUAUGCACAUAAAUAAUAUAUCCAUUUUAUACCUGUGAACUGAACAUUUGUUUCUGUUCCCCCCAAAUUCAUAUGUUGAUAGAACCCUAACCCCCAUUGUGGCAGUAUUUGGAGAUGGGCCUCUCCUUAGGAAGUUAAGGUUACGUGAGGUCAUGAGGAUGGAGCUCUGAUGUGAUAGGAUGAGGAUCCUUAUAAAAGGAGACCGUGUAUGCUCCCUAAUCCCCACCCUCCAGGUACAUGCCCCAAGGAAAUGAGGCUACAUGAGGACACAGCAAGAAGGUGGCUGUCUGCAAGCCAGCAAGAGAGCCCUCCCCAGAAACUGAACCAGCUAGAACCACGGUCUUGGACUUCCAGCCUCCAGAACCGUUGGAAGGUUCUCCUUUGAGAACGCACUGCCGCAGUGGUGAUCUCUGGAACAGGUGGAUAGGUGUGCACUAAAUAAAGCAAGCAGAAGAAGAUGUGCUGGGAGAAUCUUGGUGACGGGGCAAAG
rnacentral:lncRNA from 1 species